rnacentral:rRNA from 1 species
UACGGGGGGAGCAAGCGUUGUUCGGAUUUACUGGGCGUAAAGGGCGCGUAGGCGGUCAGCACAAGUCAGUUGUGAAAUCUCCGAGCUUAACUCGGAAAGGUCAACUGAUACUGUGCGACUAGAGUGCGGAAGGGGCAACUGGAAUUCUUGGUGUAGCGGUGAAAUGCGUAGAUAUCAGGAGGAACACCGGUGGCGAAGGCGGAUCUCUGGGCCUUACCUGACGCUCAGGCGCGAAAGCUAGGGGAGCGAACAGG